AAAAUAGGCAUGGUCAAAAAAAUUAACCACACAACUUCUUUGUCCCUCCUUUUAUUUCCAAAAUGUUGGGCGGUAUGAGAUAAGGACGCAAAUUGAUGUCACAUAAGUCAAGUACAGUGCCGUAACUACCGGGAGAGCAGGGGGUGCGAUUGAGCCAGGGCCCGCUCCCCUCUAGUUAUGUUGCUGGUCAAGUAGCAGAGACAGGAGGGGGUGAGAGAGAAAUAGAGAGAGAAGGGAGGGUGAGGUGGGAGCAGCUAGACGAGUUCAAAUUCCUUUGGCUUGAGGGGAAGUCGCUGCUAAGUUUCCACAGGAGCCUGGAGAAGCAGUGACGCUGCGACACUAACACAGAGCAACAAGUGCAAUAAGAGAGCGUGUGUCAGAGAGCAGUGCACUACCUUCCUGUCACAUAGACUCAUGGAUAACUUCCAGGCACAGCCGCACUGACACACAUUUCUAAUUACUCUGCUUUAUCACUGCCUCGUGGCUAUUGUUUAUCGGGACUCCUGCUCCAAGCGUCUGAUUGGACAGAGAUCACGGGACUAGCAGCCAAAUGAUCAUUGGCUACCCACAACCAAUAAGGAAAUGACUGCUUCAGGAGAGAGCUGCAUAUGUUCUGGCACCUCCAUGAAUGUCUCCUCCAGGGCCGUCACUGCACGGAGAACCCAGCAGUCCGGAUAAUUAACAACUCCCCCAGCCAUUAUCUCCCUGCAGCUUUUCCCUCCCUGCAGUCUCCCUUGUCUAGCCGCUCCCUCACUGUCACCACAGCCUGUUCAGACGCUCUGCCGACUGCCUCUCCCCAGCCAGCGCGACCUUAAUCCUCCUGGCUGCUCUGUGUGCUACUUCUGGUGCUGUGUGGAGGAACAGCGCUGAGUCAAGGGCGCACACAGUGGCGACUCACAAUACAUUAUAUAAGAUUCCCUCGUUUGUCCUGCUCUCACCUGGUAACUCUACCUGUGGCCCCAGCCCUCCAUACAAUCUCCGCCCACAAACUUUCCCCGUUGCCAGGUAACCCAGAUCACGUGCCCCUGCGGGACUUGGGGCACCGCCGGGGAAUGCUUUCUGCUUGAAGCCGGGACCCGCUCACGUGACGUCUCACCAUGGCGGAUACAAGCAAUCAGCUCAUGUUGGGCGCCGGCCUGACAGUUUUGUCGCACCCGAUGAUGUAUGUGAAGGUGCUGGUGCAGAUGUGAAUCUUUUAAUUGGAGGCCCAACAUACAGCGAUUGUGCCGGCGGUUAUUACUACAGUGAAAGCAGCUUGUCAGCUACAAGGAACAGGUUCAUACACUGAUCUGAAAUACCUGAAAUGUGCUCCCCGGCUCAUUCUUUGAGAGGUGGACUAGUCUGGCCAAUGGACUGUACAAGAGCAGGGAGCUGAUCAGUGGCUACUUCAGUCAAGGGUCCAUUUCAAACCUGCCCAGAUACAUAUGGCUGAGUUUCAAUCAGAUAUGAAUGGGGUUGGCAUAUCACCAGCCUAACCAGUAAUAUAGCAGCCGAGACUGGGACCAGUGUUACACAUUUAACCAGCUAUGUAUUUGCUCAUAAAUUUAUAAUUCCCUGACGUACCACCCCUGUCCUCUCCCUCCCCAAUCCCUGCCGCCAGCUCCGCUUCUUUCCCUUCUUCCUAUAAUCCCGCUCCCAUAUCGACCAUAUUUUCUCCCGAACCACCCCCUCAUUGUCCCUCCCCUUUCUGUACAGCCAGAUUUUUUUUUUUUUCCCAAAAUGGUGACAACCCUAGAUAUUGGUCAGGCAGGACCUUCUGAGGGCCCAUGUAUGAUAAUGUCCCUGGUACAGCACAAGCCCAGUAUAAUGCCUCUUCUGAGCUGACUGGACUGUGCUGGCACCCAGCCUAAAUCAGUGCAAUGGACUGUGAAAACCUGUUGGUGGCGCCUACUCCCGCGAGCAGCGUCUCCUAUUUCCCCUACUCAUGUAUGUCAGUGGGCAUGGGUAUUCUACUACUUCAUUCUAAAGCAUGGGGGCAACACCAUCCAGCAGGGAGGCAGCAAGAUCAACAUGGGAUUCCUUAAAAGCCUGGGCCCAACAGAACUGAGAAGCUUGAUACAGUUGUACCCUGCAAUUACAUAACUUAAGCCUUGCUCUGUCUACCCCCCUCACCCUGUCUGUUAAAGGGCAAGUAAACCCAGGAAUAUCAGGGCAGGGGGGCUGCUGUACUGCCUCUUAUGCCCAACAGCCGUUUCAUUGGUAAAGUUACAUCCCCCCAAUUCAGCAGAACAAAACUUCCUGGUGACUCUGGAUGGACCCUCCUCUUCCCAUUUUCCCAAAGGGAGUGGUAUGUGCAGUGAACCUCGGGGGAGCAGGGUACUAUGGGAAAAUAUUCACUACGGAUCAAAAUGUAGAGAGAUAUUAUGUACGUCUUUGGCCCAGGGCUCCUUGAAUUUCCAGUGGCCUCUAAUAUCCCGCCUGUUAUCAGUAGACCAAUCACGGGAUGGACUGAUGCCCAAUGAAACAUCACACAGACCUGCCCUUCCUCUGCCCAAAUAAUACCAAAGGCAACUUUAUCAUGGGACAAAUGUCUUCUAAUGACAGUGGCAUGUUUAUGGGUCAGCUCUUUCUAGACCCAAUGAGUCCAUUUCUCCUUGGCCCAAAGGAUACUAAUGGCAGUGACAUGUAUAUCCAAGUCCCUGCUAGGCCCAAAAUAACAUAUUAAUAAACACCUUCUGAACCCAGUCUCAUUAUGUACUAAUCCCAGUGAUAUGUUUAUAUAAACUAUAUAUCAUUUGUAUGUGAUUGAUUGACCAAACCUCUGGUAUCAGUGCAGAUCAGUAGGACUAGGUCCCCUCCUUAUAUUUCUUCAUCCUUAGCAUCUCCUUUCACCCAUUUCUCCCACCCCUGCCUCUUGAUUCCACCUUCACUUUUCAGUGACCCUUUUCCCUUGCACUAGAGGUCUCCCUCCUCUGUAAUGUUCCCUGGCAAUACUAUAGAACUAUAACAAAUGCAAGAACACCAAUGAAAUGUGUAUUAACAUAUUUAUUUAUAAAGUGAUUGUUUUAUUUAUGCAUUUUAGAUUAAUUCAUACUAAUUUAGGUUGGGAAGGACUCGCAUCCAUUAGGUUCAAGUUUUAGUGUAAAAGGGAUCUUCCUAUUUAGAAGUUGAUCCAGAGGAAGGCGAAAAACCCCAUCUGAUGCCGGAGCCAAUUUGCCUCAGAGGGGGAAAAAAUUCCUUCCUGACUCCCAAAGGGCAAUCGGACAAGUCCCUGGAUCAACUUAUACUAAGAGUUUAUGUCAGUAUCAGUACUAAGAGUUUAUGUGAGGGUUUAGAGGAGGAGAUGUGACUGGUUGUUGAGUGGAUUGAAAGGAUAGGAAGACAAUUUGAAUAGGAAGAACCACUGAGGAAUUGGUGUUGGGAGAUUGCAGAGAAGCCUUUGUGUAGUGGCGGUUUU